rnacentral:rRNA from 1 species
GGUUAAGCGACUAAGCGUACACGGUGGAUGCCCUGGCAGUCAGAGGCGAUGAAGGACGUGCUAAUCUGCGAUAAGCGUCGGUAAGGUGAUAUGAACCGUUAUAACCGGCGAUUUCCGAAUGGGGAAACCCAGUGUGAUUCGUCACACUAUCAUUAACUGAAUCCAUAGGUUAAUGAGGCGAACCGGGGGAACUGAAACAUCUAAGUACCCCGAGGAAAAGAAAUCAACCGAGAUUCCCCCAGUAGCGGCGAGCGAACGGGGAGCAGCCCAGAGCCUGAAUCAGUGUGUGUGUUAGUGGAAGCGUCUGGAAAGGCGUGCGAUACAGGGUGACAGCCCCGUACACAAAAAUGCACAUGCUGUGAGCUCGAUGAGUAGGGCGGGACACGUGGUAUCCUGUCUGAAUAUGGGGGGACCAUCCUCCAAGGCUAAAUACUCCUGACUGACCGAUAGUGAACCAGUACCGUGAGGGAAAGGCGAAAAGAACCCCGGCGAGGGGAGUGAAAAAGAACCUGAAACCGUGUACGUACAAGCAGUGGGAGCACGCUUAGGCGUGUGACUGCGUACCUUUUGUAUAAUGGGUCAGCGACUUAUAUUCUGUAGCAAGGUUAACCGAAUAGGGGAGCCGAAGGGAAACCGAGUCUUAACUGGGCGUUAAGUUGCAGGGUAUAGACCCGAAACCCGGUGAUCUAGCCAUGGGCAGGUUGAAGGUUGGGUAACACUAACUGGAGGACCGAACCGACUAAUGUUGAAAAAUUAGCGGAUGACUUGUGGCUGGGGGUGAAAGGCCAAUCAAACCGGGAGAUAGCUGGUUCUCCCCGAAAGCUAUUUAGGUAGCGCCUCGUGAAUUCAUCUCCGGGGGUAGAGCACUGUUUCGGCAAGGGGGUCAUCCCGACUUACCAACCCGAUGCAAACUGCGAAUACCGGAGAAUGUUAUCACGGGAGACACACGGCGGGUGCUAACGUCCGUCGUGAAGAGGGAAACAACCCAGACCGCCAGCUAAGGUCCCAAAGUCAUGGUUAAGUGGGAAACGAUGUGGGAAGGCCCAGACAGCCAGGAUGUUGGCUUAGAAGCAGCCAUCAUUUAAAGAAAGCGUAAUAGCUCACUGGUCGAGUCGGCCUGCGCGGAAGAUGUAACGGGGCUAAACCAUGCACCGAAGCUGCGGCAGCGACGCUGAUGCGUUGUUGGGUAGGGGAGCGUUCUGUAAGCCUGCGAAGGUGUGCUGUGAGGCAUGCUGGAGGUAUCAGAAGUGCGAAUGCUGACAUAAGUAACGAUAAAGCGGGUGAAAAGCCCGCUCGCCGGAAGACCAAGGGUUCCUGUCCAACGUUAAUCGGGGCAGGGUGAGUCGACCCCUAAGGCGAGGCCGAAAGGCGUAGUCGAUGGGAAACAGGUUAAUAUUCCUGUACUUGGUGUUACUGCGAAGGGGGGACGGAGAAGGCUAUGUUGGCCGGGCGACGGUUGUCCCGGUUUAAGCGUGUAGGCUGGUUUUCCAGGCAAAUCCGGAAAAUCAAGGCUGAGGCGUGAUGACGAAGCACUACGGUGCGGAAGCAACAAAUGCCCUGCUUCCAGGAAAAGCCUCUAAGCAUCAGGUAACAUCAAAUCGUACCCCAAACCGACACAGGUGGUCAGGUAGAGAAUACCAAGGCGCUUGAGAGAACUCGGGUGAAGGAACUAGGCAAAAUGGUGCCGUAACUUCGGGAGAAGGCACGCUGAUAUGUAGGUGAAGUCCCUCGCGGAUGGAGCUGAAAUCAGUCGAAGAUACCAGCUGGCUGCAACUGUUUAUUAAAAACACAGCACUGUGCAAACACGAAAGUGGACGUAUACGGUGUGACGCCUGCCCGGUGCCGGAAGGUUAAUUGAUGGGGUCAGCGCAAGCGAAGCUCUUGAUCGAAGCCCCGGUAAACGGCGGCCGUAACUAUAACGGUCCUAAGGUAGCGAAAUUCCUUGUCGGGUAAGUUCCGACCUGCACGAAUGGCGUAAUGAUGGCCAGGCUGUCUCCACCCGAGACUCAGUGAAAUUGAACUCGCUGUGAAGAUGCAGUGUACCCGCGGCAAGACGGAAAGACCCCGUGAACCUUUACUAUAGCUUGACACUGAACAUUGAGCCUUGAUGUGUAGGAUAGGUGGGAGGCUUUGAAGUGUGGACGCCAGUCUGCAUGGAGCCGACCUUGAAAUACCACCCUUUAAUGUUUGAUGUUCUAACGUUGACCCGUGAUCCGGGUUGCGGACAGUGUCUGGUGGGUAGUUUGACUGGGGCGGUCUCCUCCUAAAGAGUAACGGAGGAGCACGAAGGUUGGCUAAUCCUGGUCGGACAUCAGGAGGUUAGUGCAAUGGCAUAAGCCAGCUUGACUGCGAGCGUGACGGCGCGAGCAGGUGCGAAAGCAGGUCAUAGUGAUCCGGUGGUUCUGAAUGGAAGGGCCAUCGCUCAACGGAUAAAAGGUACUCCGGGGAUAACAGGCUGAUACCGCCCAAGAGUUCAUAUCGACGGCGGUGUUUGGCACCUCGAUGUCGGCUCAUCACAUCCUGGGGCUGAAGUAGGUCCCAAGGGUAUGGCUGUUCGCCAUUUAAAGUGGUACGCGAGCUGGGUUUAGAACGUCGUGAGACAGUUCGGUCCCUAUCUGCCGUGGGCGCUGGAGAACUGAGGGGGGCUGCUCCUAGUACGAGAGGACCGGAGUGGACGCAUCACUGGUGUUCGGGUUGUCAUGCCAAUGGCACUGCCCGGUAGCUAAAUGCGGAAGAGAUAAGUGCUGAAAGCAUCUAAGCACGAAACUUGCCCCGAGAUGAGUUCUCCCUGACUCCUUGAGAGUCCUGAAGGAACGUUGAAGACGACGACGUUGAUAGGCCGGGUGUGUAAGCGCAGCGAUGCGUUGAGCUAACCGGUACUAAUGAACCGUGAGGCUUAACCUU